AACAUGCUCCUUAGAUCCAUCCCUUACGGGAUGCAUCUGUCCUACUUUACGGGAAGAUCCCUCUACUGUGGUGUUGGAUUUUCUGGUGAGUUGGUGGGUUGCAUUCAUCAACUUUGGUUGUACUGUUGUAGGUGCUUGAGUCAUUGGCAUGUAAGAAUAAUAUACCUGCAUAGUAGUUUCUCUGUUCUGAUGUGAAUGACCUGUUAUUCCAGGUGGUUUUCUGCCAUCAUGGCCUUGCUGCUGGAUGGGCAUG